rnacentral:rRNA from 1 species
UACGUAGGGUGCAAGCGUUGUCCGGAAUUAUUGGGCGUAAAGAGCUCGUAGGCGGUCUGUCGCGUCUGCUGUGAAAACUCAGGGCUUAACCCUGAGCUUGCAGUGGGUACGGGCAGACUAGAGUGCGGUAGGGGAGACUGGAAUUCCUGGUGUAGCGGUGAAAUGCGCAGAUAUCAGGAGGAACACCGGUGGUGAAGGCGGGUCUCUGGGCCGUAACUGACGCUGAGGAGCGAAAGCAUGGGGAGCGAACAGG